rnacentral:rRNA from 1 species
AGUCGAGCGAGAUCUUCGGAUCUAGUGGCAGACGGGUGAGUAACGCGUGGGAACCUGCCCAGUAGUAGAGGACAACUUGGAGAAACUUAAGCUAAUACUUUAUACGUCCUUCGGGAGAAAGCUUUAUGCGCUAUUGGAUGGGCCCGCGUUAGAUUAGUUUGUUGGUGAGGUAAUGGCUCACCAAGACUACGAUCUAUAGCUGGUCUGAGAGGAUGAUCAGCCACACUGGGACUGAGACACGGCCCAGACUCCUACGGGAGGCAGCAGUGGGGAAUAUUGGACAAUGGGGGCAACCCUGAUCCAGCGAUGCCGCGUGAGUGAUGAAGGCCCUAGGGUUGUAAAACUCUUUCGUCAGGGAAGAUAAUGACGGUACCUGAAGAAGAAGAUCCGGCUAACUCCGUGCCAGCAGCCGCGGUAAUACGGAGGGAUCUAGCGUUAUUCGGAAUUACUGGGCGUAAAGCGAGCGUAGGCGGAUUUGUAAGUUGGAGGUGAAAUCCCAGAGCUCAACUCUGGAACUGCCUUCAAAACUACAUUUCUUGAGUUUGGUAGAGGAGAGUGGAAUUCCUAGUGUAGAGGUGAAAUUCGUAGAUAUUAGGAGGAACACCAGUGGCGAAGGCGACUCUCUGGGCCAAUACUGACGCUGAGGUUCGAAAGC